rfam:Ciona savignyi cont_31781, whole genome shotgun sequence.
GCCCGGUUAGCUCAGCCGGUAGAGCGUUGGAAUUUUAAUCCAAAGGCCAAGGUUUCAAGUCCCUUAUCGGGCU